ACGGGAGGCAGCAGUGGGGAAUAUUGCACAAUGGGGGGAACCCUGAUGCAGCGAUGCCGCGUGGAGGAAGAAGGUUUUCGGAUUGUAAACUCCUGUCUUAAAGGACGAUAAUGACGGUACUUUAGGAGGAAGCUCCGGCUAACUACGUGCCAGCAGCCGCGGUAAUACGUAGGGAGCGAGCGUUGUCCGGAAUUACUGGGUGUAAAGGGAGCGUAGACGGGAUGGUAAGUCAGAUGUGAAAUGCAGGAGCUCAACUCCUGAGCUGCAUUUGAAACUGCUGUUCUUGAGUGAAGUAGAGGUGAGCGGAAUUCCUGGUGUAGCGGUGAAAUGCGUAGAUAUCAGGAGGAACACCGGUGGCGAAGGCGGCUUACUGGGCUUUUACUGACGCUGAGGCUUGAAAGCGUGGGUAGCAAACAGGAUUAGAUACCCUGGUA
rnacentral:rRNA from 1 species